GGAGGAAGUCAGAGCAUAGACACUGCGUACUUGCUUCCGAAGAGCAGGUCUAACAACUCCUGCAAUUUUCAAAAGACUGUGGAAGCAAGAGAACCUGAGCUCUGUCCAGUCCUGGCUCUGGAAGAUGAGGACAGCUGAGGAACAUUGGCAGAGCCCCCGCUUUGUGGGGAAAGUGGCAUCGACUGAGUUUCUUUCCAUUGCUUUUUUCGUCGCCACAAUAAACUGACAGUAAUUGGAGGAUGGAUAAAUGAGUAUGAUUGCAGGAGAAGAGCUCA